UGCAGUGCAGUAUAAUGCUUAGGAAGCUGGGCUUGUAACUCAGAGGUUGCAGGUUCAAAUCCUGGGUCUGGUA